rnacentral:lncRNA from 1 species
UAUGCUUAUAUAUUAAGAUUUUACUCAUAUAUAUUAGGUAUGCUUAGUGAAUAAAGUUAUUGAAGGAACAAUAAUGGUAAACACCUUCAACUGUGUAGCAAGGUAAUGAGGUUUGUUUUUGCUUAUUAAGGGAAAGAGAGAGAAAAUUUGUUUUCACAUUAAGUGUGAAGUCAACCCAGAUGUGCAAGAGCAUAGAGAAGGGCAAAAGUCUAGUGUGUAGAUGUUGGAGAAGUAAAAAUCUUGCCAACAAAGAGAGACCUCUCCAGAACCACUACGGAAAGAUACCUGAUUUAUUAUUAAGUUAAUAUAACAGAGUCCUUGCCUGUAGGAAGCCCUCAAGAGACUACAAAGUCACCAUAAAAUUUCACGCAAUUUAUAUAGCAAAGCAGAUACAAAGUUCAUUGGGAACUGAGGUAGGCAUUUACUUAGUUAAUUGUUCUCUUCUAAAAGAAUAAUAUAACUUAUUUCCUCAAGAGACAAAGGGUUAUAUUGUGAGAAACUCCUGAGCUAAUUCUGAGGCUAUGUGUUUAUAUUUCCAGGGGUUAUGAGGCUCCAGACCUUAGAGAAAUCUCUUUAUUAUGAAACCGAAGACUGGGCAUAUCUGGCCCCAGGAGAGAUUCACUUACUUGCUAAAGGCCAGCUAUAUCUUCAAGGAGAUCCUCUCCAGGGGGAAGAACAGAUAAAAGGGGAAGUGGAGGAAAGCUGUACCUGUCCUUUCUGAGGCUUUUACCACAUCCCACUGAAAGUGCUGGAAAGCUCUUCUGUGCAUCUCUUCCUUCUUUCCUUCAGUAAAUACUCGCUAUAUGCCAUAAUGCCUGAAUUCCUCUCUCCUGUGAUUAUAACUGUCUUUGUUGAUUUUUUUUUUUUGGUAUUCCACUGCAAUCUCAAGGAAAAGAAUAUUAAAUUUUCCAACAAUUCAUGUCAAAAGGUAGUUGAAUAAUUCUGCAAAAGGGAGCAAGGCAUAAAUAUGUUUGUUUUUAAAAAGGGAAACAAGCGUUAACUUAGGGAAGGAUAAUUGAAAAUGUAUGGCUUCUGUCCCUUAAAAAAAGGGCCUCUUUGCAUGCAAACCACUGGUUUCACUGUCCUUAAGUCUUGUUUACAGUAGGUUUUUUAAGAUUGGUGAUUUAAGAACAACGAACAUUUUCAUGGAAUUGUAUAAAACCCCAUACUACAUAUUCCAAAAUACACCAAAUGGCUACUUGGAUGAGUGAUCUCAAAAACCAUACAUAAUGCAUGAAUAGUAGUAGAAUAUAUCUUAGGUAUUUUGAUUUAUGCUGUUCAAGCUGGGAACAGUGAUAGAGUGGUUCUGUAUUGUGUCACUGCGCGUUACCUAGCUUCCUGAGCUUUAGACUGUAAGAGCCCACUGUAGGGGGUGUUGUCUGGAUUACAUGCUGCAGUUUAGAGCAUCAAGGUAGGUUUUCAGUAACUGUUUGAAAAAUUGUGGUGAAUUGAUGUUUUAUCACCCUUGAAAUGCAGAGUGUACUUCUCUCCAGGAAAGUAACUGUGAGCCAGAAGAAUAUAAGUGAUGACCUUUGAAGGUGUUCACUUGGGGAAGUGGGUGUGGUGGUGUGGGCUGCCAACUGCAGACAGGAAAUGUAGGUGUAGACUGUUUGGAUUCCAUGAUGCCGAAUCAUUUAGCCACAGAAUAACCAAAUGUUCCCAGUAAAGUCUGCAUUUUUACAUAGGAGCCCACACUGGGAUGUUUCUUUAAAGCACGUAUG